UACGGAAGGCAGCAGUGGGGAAUAUUGCACAAUGGGCGAAAGCCUGAUGCAGCUAUGCCGCGUGUAUGAAGAAGGCCUUAGGGUUGUAAAGUACUUUCAUCGGGGAGGAAAAACAAAACUAAUAAUUUUAUUUUUUGACGUUACCCGAAAAAGAAGCACCGGCUAACUCCGUGCCAGCAGCCGCGGUAAUACGGAGGGUGCUAGCGUUAAUCAGAAUUACUGGGCGUAAAGAGCACGUAGGUGGUUUUUUUAAGUCAGAUGUGAAAUCCCUGGGCUUAACCUAGGAACUGCAUUUUGAAACUGAAAUACUAGAGUAUCGUAGAGGGAGGUAGAAUUCUAGGUGUAGCGGUGAAAUGCGUAGAUAUCUGGAGGAAUACCUGUGGCGAAAGCGGCCUCCUAAACGAAUACUGACACUGAGGUGCGAAAGCGUGGGGAGCAAACAGGGAUUAGAUACC
rnacentral:rRNA from 1 species